rnacentral:rRNA from 1 species
AUUGAACGCUAGCGGGAUGCUUUACACAUGCACGUCGCACGAGUGGCGGACGGGUGAGUAAUAUAUCGGAAAGUGCCCAGUCGAGGGGGAUAACUACUCGAAAGAGUGGCUAAUACCGCAUACUCUUGGAGCGGCCGAUAGCGGAUUAGCUAGUUGGUGGGGUAAAGGCUCACCAAGGCAACGAUCCGUAGCUGGUUUGAGAGGACGACCAGCCAAAGUGGGACUGAGACACGGCCCAGACGCCGACGGUAGGCAGCAGUGGGGAAUUUUGGACAAUGGGGGAAACCCUGAUCCAGCCAUCCCGCGUGUAUGAGAAGGCCUUCGGGUUGUAAAGUACUUUUGGCAGAGAAGCGGUAUCUGCAGAAUAAGCACCGGCUAACUACGUGCCAGCAGCCGCGGUAAUAC